UACGUAGGGUGCGAGCGUUAAUCGGAUUUACUGGGCGUAAAGCGUGCGCAGGCGGUUUCGCAAGUCAGAUGUGAAAGCCCCGGGCUUAACCUGGGAAUUGCGUUUGAAACUAUGGAACUUGAGUACGGCAGAGGGGGGUAGAAUUCCACGUGUAGCAGUGAAAUGCGUAGAUAUGUGGAGGAACACCGAUGGCGAAGGCAGCCCCCUGGGCCUGUACUGACGCUCAUGCACGAAAGCGUGGGGAGCAAACAGG
rnacentral:rRNA from 1 species